rnacentral:rRNA from 1 species
UACAGAGGUCCCAAGCGUUGUUCGGAUUCACUGGGCGUAAAGGGUGCGUAGGCGGCCGGGUAAGUCUGAUGUGAAAUCUCACAGCUUAACUGUGAAACUGCAUUGGAUACUAUCCGGCUCGAGGAAUGGAGGGGAGACUGGAAUACUUGGUGUAGCAGUGAAAUGCGUAGAUAUCAAGUGGAACACCAGUGGCGAAGGCGGCUCGCUGGGCUCUACCUGACGCUGAGGCGCGAAAGCGUGGGGAGCGAACCGG